UCUUAAAGAUUGGAUUUCAUCCCUGGAUUUUUGUUCAUCCUUCUCCUUCAGCUUGGUUGGGCUGGAUGUGCCCUGAAGCCAAAAUCUCCUGGAAGGCUAGAACUCCUUCCCCGCCACCUGUGUUUGACACUGAGCCUGGCACAGCCCUGCCCACAAGGGGGAGGAGUCAAGAUGGCCACUUAGAAGCAGCUAAGUCCAGACAUCUGUGAAAAUCCUUCCACAUCCAUCAAAAACAAAAUGCUUCGAUCAAAUCUAACAAUAGGACAGAGCUGGGGGACCCUCCACUUCAAUUCAACUUAUAAGUCUUUGAGGGAUGCUGCUAUUGCUGAUGUCGAUUCUUCAAAAAAGUUUGUGAGUCAGACAGGUGUUAUUGGCAAUUGGAGCCAAUAUUCAUGCCACAGCACCUACUCUCUAAAGACAUUUUACAAAAGACAAAAGCAGUCAUUACCUUGAGUAUCUCAUUUAAUGGUUUCAUACCUUCUGGGGACAGGAGAUAAAUGAAGGAGACAAGCAAUUUGAUUUUGAUUAUAACAUGUGAGGCCAUGCAAAACAUAUUUACAAGCUAAUCAAGUUGCAAAAGAAAACACAAAGUAAAACAAUAAAAAUAAAGUUAAAAAAAAGCAUUUUUCCAUCUGCAUUCAGAAUUCUUCAAUUCUCUCUCUGGAAGUGGAUAGCAAUUUUGUCAUGGGUCAUUUAGAAUUGUCUUCUCAUCAUCUUAUUUCCUGUGAAGCUAUGCAGGCUGCCUGAAGUCCUU